UCACUGGGCUUAAAGCGUGCGUAGGCGGCCUGGCAGGUGAGAUGUGAAAGCCCACGGCUCAACCGUGGAAUUGCGUUUCAAACCGUCAGGCUUGAGGAAGACAGGGGGUGUCGGGAACUUAUGGUGGAGCGGUGAAAUGCGUUGAUAUCAUAGGGAACACCGGUGGCGAAGGCGCGACACUGGGUCUUUACUGACGCUGAGGCACGAAAGCUAGGGUAGCGAACGGGAUUAGAUACCCCGGUAGUCCUAGCCGUAAACGAUGAACACUGGGUUGAGGGGACUUCCACAUCCUCUCGGCCGUAGCGAAAGCGUUAAGUGUUCCGCCUGGGGAGUAUGGUCGCAAGGCUGAAACUCAAAGGAAUUGACGGGGGCUCACACAAGCGGUGGAGGAUGUGGCUUAAUUCGAGGAUACGCGAAGAACCUUAUCCUAGAUUUGACAUGCUUGAGAGUCUCUAUGAAAGUAGAGAGUGCCCUUCGGGGAGCUCUUGCACAGGUGCUGCAUGGCU
rnacentral:rRNA from 1 species